rnacentral:rRNA from 1 species
UACAGAGGGCUCAAGCGUUGUUCGGAUUCAUUGGGCGUAAAGGGUGCGUAGGCGGCGCGGUAAGUCGGGUGUGAAAUCUCGGAGCUUAACUCCGAAACUGCAUUCGAUACUGCCGUGCUUGAGGACUGGAGAGGAGACUGGAAUUUACGGUGUAGCGGUGAAAUGCGUAGAUAUCGUCAAGAACACCGAUAGUGAAGACAGCUUACCAAGCUUCAACUGACGCUGAGGCACGAAAGUGUGGGGAUCAAACAGG